GGGCUCCUACAUGCUUAAAACUGGAAGGAAUUGACCGGCCGCCUGAAUUGACAGGAAGCCGCCCGCAGUAAUAAUCCUGGGGUCAUGACGGUACCGUAAGAAUAACCACCGGCUAACUACGUGCCAACAGUCGCGGUAAUACGUAUGGUGCGAGCGUUAAUCGGAAUUACUGGGCGUAAAGCGUGCGCAGGCGGUUUUGUAAGACAGAGGUGAAAUCCCCGGGCUCAACCUGGGAACUGCCUUUGUGACUGCAAGGCUAGAGUACGGCAGAGGGGGAUGGAAUUCCGCGUGUAGCAGUGAAAUGCGUAGAUAUGCGGAGGAACACCGAUGGCGAAGGCAAUCCCCUGGGCCUGUACUGACGCUCAUGCACGAAAGCGUGGGGAGCAAACAGGAUUAGAUACCCUGGUAGUCCACGCCCUAAACGAUGUCAACUGGUUGUUGGGUCUUAACUGACUCAGUAACGAAGCUAACGCCUGAAGUUGACCGCCUGGGGAGUACGGCCCCAAAGUUGAAACUCAAA
rnacentral:rRNA from 1 species